GACGAACGCUGGCGGCGUGCUUAACACAUGCAAGUCGAACGGUGAAAGCGGAGCUUGCUCCGCUGGAUCAGUGGCGAACGGGUGAGUAACACGUGGGCAACCUGCCCCUGACUUCGGGAUAACUCCUCGAAAGAGGUGCUAAUACCGGAUACGAAUCCUGCAGGCAUCUGCGGGAUUGGAAAGUUUUUCGGUCAGGGAUGGGCCCGCGGCCUAUCAGCUUGUUGGUGAGGUAGUGGCUCACCAAGGCGACGACGGGUAGCCGGCCUGAGAGGGCGUCCGGCCACACGUGGACUGAGACACGGCCCAGACUCCUACGGGAGGCAGCAGUGGGGAAUAUUGCGCAAUGGGCGAAAGCCUGACGCAGCAACGCCGCGUGAGGGAUGACGGCCUUCGGGUUGUAAACCUCUUUCAGCAGGGAAGAAGCGGAAGUGACGGUACCUGCAGAAGAAGCACCGGCUAACUACGUGCCAGCAGCCGCGGUAA
rnacentral:rRNA from 1 species